rnacentral:rRNA from 1 species
UACGUAGGGGGCAAGCGUUGUCCGGAUUUAUUGGGCGUAAAGAGCGUGUAGGCGGUUUGGUAGGUCCGUUGUGAAAACUCGAGGCUCAACCUCGAGACGCCGGUGGAAACCGUAAAGCUAGAGUCCGGAAGAGGAGAGUGGAAUUCCUGGUGUAGCGGUGAAAUGCGCAGAUAUCAGGAGGAACACCGAUGGCGAAGGCAGGUCUCUGGGCCACUACUGACGCUGAGAAGCGAAAGCAUGGGGAGCGAACAGG